UACGGAGGUGGCUAGCGUUGCUCGGAUUCAUUGGGUGUAAAGGGCAAGUAGGCGGCUCAAUAAGUCAGAUGUGAAAUCCCCGGGCUCAACCUGGGACACGCAUCUGAGACUGCUGAGCUUGAGGACGGAAGAGGAGAGCGGAAUACCCGGUGUAAGGGUGAAAUCUGUAGAUAUCGGGUAGAACACCAGUGGCGAAGGCGGCUCUCUGGUCCGAACCUGACGCUGAGAGGCGAAAGCCGGGGGAGCAAACAGG
rnacentral:rRNA from 1 species